rnacentral:lncRNA from 1 species
AGUGAGCAAAAAGCUUUGGUUUGAGAUAAUGCUGUGUGCAGGUUUUGUUAUGGCUAUUUCAUGACAGGUUUUCAAAUGCCAAAGGGGUGGUCUUUAGCACCAGGUGUUUUCUGAUAUGAAUGGUGGUAUGAUGCUGCUAGGCUUUUCAUGACAGGAGAUGCAGAAUGGCCAAGUCAAGGUGACUGGUUGGCUUGCUGCUAGCAAGUUUGUUGGCAAGGCAAGGUUUUACACACAAGGCAAGGCA